rnacentral:misc_RNA from 1 species
GAUGAAGAACGUAGCGAAAUGCGAUAAGUAAUGUGAAUUGCAGAAUUCAGUGAAUCAUCGAAUCUUUGAACGCACAUUGCGCCCGCCAGUAUUCUGGCGGGCAUGCCUGUUCGAGCGUCAUUUCAACCAUCAAGCCCCGGGCUUGUGUUGGGGACCUGCGGCUGCCGCAGGCCCUGAAAUGCAGUGGCGGGCUCGCUGUCACUCCGAGCGUAGUAGUUACAUCUCGCUCUGGGCGUGCUGCGGGUUCCGGCCGUUAAAAGCCUUAUUUACCCAAGGUUGACCUCGGAUCAGGUAGGAAGACCCGCUGAACUUAAGCAUAUAAUAAGCGGAGGA